rnacentral:lncRNA from 1 species
UUCGAUGUGAUCAAACUCUGUAUAAGUUAUGAAUAUUGUGUUGUAAAUGGAUUAAGCUCUAAAGACUAAAACAAAAUUGAUAACCAAUCUGCCAAGAAAGAGCAAUCACGUAAGAUGCUUAAAAGUGUUGUUUGUGCUCUCAAGAUUUAAAUAAGUCACUUUUGGCUUAAUUUUUGUUUCAAAAUAAGUGUAUUCUUCAAAAGGCAACAAAAAUCUAAAGAAACAAU